UAGGGAAUCUUGCGCAAUGGGCGAAAGCCUGACGCAGCGACGCCGCGUGGGGGAUGAAGGUCUUCGGAUCGUAAACCCCUGUCUUUGGGGACGAAGCAUGACGGUACCCAAGGAGGAAGCCCCGGCUAACUACGUGCCAGCAGCCGCGGUAAAACGUAGGGGCGAGCGUUGUCCGGAAUUACUGGGCGUAAAGCGCGCGCAGGCGGCUAUGUAAGUCUGGUGUUAAAGCCCGGGGCUCAACCCCGGUUCGCAUCGGAAACUGUGUAGCUUGAGUGCAGAAGAGGAAAGCGGUAUUCCACGUGUAGCGGUGAAAUGCGUAGAGAUGUGGAGGAACACCAGUGGCGAAGGCGGCUUUCUGGUCUGUAACUGACGCUGAGGCGCGAAAGCGUGGGGAGCAAACAGGAUUAGAUACCC
rnacentral:rRNA from 1 species